rnacentral:rRNA from 1 species
GACGAACGCUGGCGGCGUGCUUAACACAUGCAAGUCGAACGGUAAGGCCCUUCGGGGUACACGAGUGGCGAACGGGUGAGUAACACGUGGGUAAUCUGCCCUGCACAUCGGGAUAAGCCUGGGAAACUGGGUCUAAUACCGAAUAGGACCACAGAACACAUGUCCUGUGGUGGAAAGCUUUUGCGGUGUGGGAUGGGCCCGCGGCCUAUCAGCUUGUUGGUGGGGUGAUGGCCCACCAAGGCGACGACGGGUAGCCGGCCUGAGAGGGUGUCCGGCCACACUGGGACUGAGAUACGGCCCAGACUCCUACGGGAGGCAGCAGUGGGGAAUAUUGCACAAUGGGCGAAAGCCUGAUGCAGCGACGCCGCGUGGGGGAUGACGGCCUUCGGGUUGUAAACCUCUUUCACCAUCGACGAAGGUUCGGGUUUUCUCGGAUUGACGGUAGGUGGAGAAGAAGCACCGGCCAACUACGUGCCAGCAGCCGCGGUAAUACGUAGGGUGCGAGCGUUGUCCGGAAUUACUGGGCGUAAAGAGCUCGUAGGUGGUUUGUCGCGUUGUUCGUG